AUUGAACGCUGGCGGCAGGCUUAACACAUGCAAGUCGAGCGGGGUGAUGGUGCUUGCACUAUCACUUAGCGGCGGACGGGUGAGUAAUGCUUAGGAAUCUGCCUAUUAGUGGGGGACAACAUCUCGAAAGGGAUGCUAAUACCGCAUACGUCCUACGGGAGAAAGCAGGGGAUCACUUGUGACCUUGCGCUAAUAGAUGAGCCUAAGUCGGAUUAGCUAGUUGGUGGGGUAAAGGCCUACCAAGGCGACGAUCUGUAGCGGGUCUGAGAGGAUGAUCCGCCACACUGGGACUGAGACCCGGCCCAGACUCCUACGGGAGGCAGCAGUGGGGAAUAUUGGACAAUGGGGGGAACCCUGAUCCAGCCAUGCCGCGUGCGUGAAGAAGGCCUUAUGGUUGUAAAGCACUUUAAGCGAGGAGGAGGCUCUUUUGGUUAAUACCCAAGAUGAGUGGACGUUACUCGCAGAAUAAGCACCGGCUAACUCUGUGCCAGCAGCCGCCGUAA
rnacentral:rRNA from 1 species